UUCCGGUUGAUCCUGCCGGACCCCACUGCUAUCGAGGUGGGAUUAAGCCAUGCCAGUCGAACGCCCCCGGACAACGGCGGGGGAGUGGCAUACUGCUCAGUAACACGUAGCUAACCUACCCUCUGGACGGGCACACCCCCGGGAAACUGGGACUAAUGCCCGAUAGGUGUGGAUACUUGGAAUAGUUUCACGCCCAAAGGUCUACGCGCCCAUGUUGCGCGUAUUCGCCAGAGGACGGAACUGCGGCCGAUCAGGCUGUUGGUGAGGUAACGGCUCACCAAACCUUUGACCGGUACGGGCCGUGAGAGCGGGAGCCCGGAGAUGGGCACUGAGACAAGGGCCCAGGCCCUACGGGGCGCAGCAGUCGCGAAAACUCCGCAAUGCACGAAAGUGUGACGGGGCUACCCCGAGUGCCGUCCGCUGAGGAUGGCUUUUCCUCGGUGUAAUUAGCCGGGGGAAUAAGGAGAGGGCAAGACUGGUGUCAGCCGCCGCGGUAAUACCAGCUCUCCGAGUGGUAGGGAUGAUUAUUGGGCUUAAAGCGUCCGUAGCCGGCUUAGCAAGUCUCCGGUUAAAUUCAGCGACCUAAUCGUUGAGCCGCGGGAGAUACUACUAGGCUAGGAGGCGGGAGAGGCCGACGGUACUUCCCGGGGUAGGGUGAAAUCCUAUAAUCCCGGGCGGACCACCAGUGGCGAAGGCUGUUGGCUAGAACGCGCUCGACGUGAGGGACGAAAGCUGGGGUAGCGAACCGGAUAGAUACCCGGGUAGUCCCUGCUGUAACGAUGCGGCUAGUGUGAGCGCACGAGCCGCUCAGUGCGCAGCGAGCGUAGCCCGCGCCUGGGGAGUACGCGCAGCUGAACUAAGAUGCGGGGGCACCACAGGGUGAUCUGCGU
rnacentral:rRNA from 1 species